rnacentral:rRNA from 1 species
UACGUAGGGGGCAAGCGUUGUCCGGAUUUAUUGGGCGUAAAGAGCGUGUAGGCGGCUUUACAGGUCCGUUGUGAAAACUCGAGGCUCAACCUCGAGACGCCGGUGGAAACCGUAAAGCUAGAGUCCGGAAGAGGAGAGUGGAAUUCCUGGUGUAGCGGUGAAAUGCGCAGAUAUCAGGAAGAACACCCGUGGCGAAGGCGGCUCUCUGGGACGGUACUGAUGCUGAGACGCGAAAGCGUGGGGAGCGAACAGG